CCCUGACAGUCGCAUGCGCGGCUGACAUUUGCCAAGACAGGAGAACAACAUG
rnacentral:sRNA from 12 species